UACGGGGGGGGCAAGCGUUGUUCGGAAUUACUGGGCGUAAAGGGCUCGUAGGCGGCCAACUAAGUCAGACGUGAAAUCCCUCGGCUUAACCGGGGAACUGCGUCUGAUACUGGAUGGCUAGAGUGUGGGAGAGGGAUGCGGAAUUCCAGGUGUAGCGGUGAAAUGCGUAGAUAUCUGGAGGAACCCCGUUGGCGAAGGCGGCAUCCUGGACCACGACUGACGCUGAGUGAGCGAAAGCCAGGUGAGCAAACGGG
rnacentral:rRNA from 1 species